rnacentral:rRNA from 1 species
AACGCGAAGANCCUUACCCAGGUCUUGACAUACUCGUGCUAUUCCUAGAGAUAGGAAGUUCCUUCGGGACACGGGAUACAGGUGGUGCAUGGUUGUCGUCAGCUCGUGUCGUGAGAUGUUGGGUUAAGUCCCGCAACGAGCGCAACCCUUAUUGUUAGUUGCCAUCAUUAAGUUGGGCACUCUAGCGAGACUGCUGGUAAUAAACCGGAGGAAGGUGGGGAUGACGUCAAAUCAUCAUGCCCCUUAUGACCUGGGCUACACACGUGCUACAAUGGUUGGUACAACGAGUCGCAAGACAGUGAUGUCAAGCUAAUCUCUUAAAGCCAAUCUCAGUUCGGAUUGUAGGCUGCAACUCGCCUACAUGAAGUCGGAAUCGCUAGUAAUCGCGGAUCAGCACGCCGCGGUGAAUACGUUCCCGGGCCUUGUACACACCGCCCGUCACACCACGAGAGUUUGUAAUACCCAAAGCCGGUGAGCUAACCUUUUAGGAGGCAGCCGUCUAAGGUAGGAUAGAUGAUUGGGGUGAAGUCGUA